rnacentral:rRNA from 1 species
AUUGAACGCUGGCGGCAGGCCUAACACAUGCAAGUCGAACGGUAACAGGAAACAGCUUGCUGUUUCGCUGACGAGUGGCGGACGGGUGAGUAAUGUCUGGGAAACUGUCUGAUGGAGGGGGAUAACUACUGGAAACGGUAGCUAAUACCGCAUAACGUCGCAAGACCAAAGAGGGGGACCUUCGGGCCCCUUGGCAUCGGGUGUGCCCCGAUGGGAUUAGCUAGUAGGUGGGGUAACGGCUCACCCAGGCGACGAUCCCUAGCUGGUCUGAGAGGAUGACCAGCCACACUGGAACUGAGACACGGUCCAGACUCCUACGGGAGGCAGCAGUGGGGAAUAUUGCACAAUGGGCGCAAGCCUGAUGCAGCCAUGCCGCGUGUAUGAAGAAGGCCUUCGGGUUGUAAAGUACUCUCAGCGGGGAGGAAGGGAGUAAAGUUAAUACCUUUGCUCAUUGACGUUACCCGCAGAAGAAGCACCGGCUAACUCCGUGCCAGCAGCCGCAGUAA